UACGGAGGGGGCUAGCGUUAAUCGGAAUUACUGGGCGUAAAGCGCGCGUAGGUGGUUUGUUAAGUUGGAUGUGAAAGCCCCGGGCUCAACCUGGGAACUGCAUCCAAAACUGGCAAGCUAGAGUACGGUAGAGGGUGGUGGAAUUUCCUGUGUAGCGGUGAAAUGCGUAGAUAUAGGAAGGAACACCAGUGGCGAAGGCGACCACCUGGACUGAUACUGACACUGAGGUGCGAAAGCGUGGGGAGCAAACAGG
rnacentral:rRNA from 1 species